UGUCUACUUAGACACAGUUUAGAAACUAGUUUCCAUACCACUAAAAUUGCAGGCUCCUAAAGACUUGAAGAACUAAAUGUUGUUUUACUUAAUAGGGGCACAAUGAGGGACCAUUUUCCACGGGAGAGCCUUUUCAAACCCUCCUGAGGCAUCAUGCUUCAAUGCUGCCCACUCAGAACACUCUGGUGCACCCACUCAACACCACCCGGACCACAGUUUCGAAAUAGUGAGUCGCAUAGCAUGUCUUUGUUAAACCGGAGAACUUGAAGAUAUGGGGGACCCUUUCAUGGCAGUUCCCUACUCUCUCGGCAACUGUUUUCCCACUACGGCAACAAUCAAGCGUGUAAUCGGCUAGAAUUCAAUUCAGUUUAGAAUUAAUCUCCAGUCUGUGUCUGAGCAUGUCUUCUGCAAAACAAUGCUGAGGAUUAUAAUGCCAAAGACGGAUCGAAGCAAUCCAGAGCAACCAAGAGCAAGGAGACGGUAAGAGAGGACAGCCAAAACAAAGGCUGGCUCGCAAAGGUCUUAUGAAGGAAGCUUGAUUGACAGUGUGGUGGUUUGAGAUGCUGUGGACUUCUAAGAGGCAGACAACUGGAUUCUCCGACCUAAUGACAACAGUCCUGACCCUGGCUUCCAGCAGCACCGGCCACACCAGAGAUCAGAAGAGUCAUUUGAUUUGAGCCUGUGGAAAGCCAGAUACGUACUCCUGGGAAACCUUGGCUUGUAACCUAAAGGGAGACGCUCCUUUAUAUGCCUUUAAUGUGUUCAAUUUAAAAUAAUCUGACUUUAAAA